rnacentral:rRNA from 1 species
AUGUCCGGCGAGCAGCGCUGCUUGCCGCGGCCGCCGCCGACGCUCGAUGAGUACGAUUGCGGACGCGGCUUCAACGCCGCGGUUCUCCGCGCGGCCGGCAACGAGGACCGCCUCGACUGCCCGUUCCUCGUGGCCAUGGCGUUCACCCACGGCGUCGAUGCUGAUCUGACCUCCGCCUGCGUCUACUCUUCUGAGACCGGCAUCUGGGGAGACGUCAUCUCCGUCUCCACGCUAGAGGAAGUUGUGUCGUACCCAACGACUCUGAUCGGAAACACGCUCUACUGGCCAAUGAGCGCCGGUUGCAUCCUUGAACUUGAUUUGGCUAAGCAUAACUUGGAUACAAGCGAGGUGCCAAACGAUAUGUUUUGCUACUAUGACGGCAUUGUCCUCAUGCCGGCCGAGGAUGGAGGCCUUGGUUUUGCAGCGGUUGAUGAUCUCAUUCUCCAUCUCCACAUGUUCUCAAGGGUGACCACCAUUGACGGCACGCUAGUCUGGACGCUUCACAGAGCCAUUGAUCUGAACAAGUAUUUUGCACCGAAUGUGGUGCUGAGGUGUAAGACGGUUCCAGUGAGGACAAUUGGUUUUGCUGAAGAUGCUGAUGUGGUUUUCAUUUAUGUUUUUGAUUGCAUCUACAUGCUCCAUCUCAAGUCUAUGCAGUUUGGUGAGGUGUUCGAGAAAGGAAUCUAUGGCAGCAUUUUUCCGUACACCAGUUCCUCUAGGAAUGAUGAAAUGUAG